rnacentral:rRNA from 2 species
CACCUUUGUUGCUUUGGCGGGCCCGCCUCGGCCACCGGCUCCGGCUGGUGAGCGCCCGCCAGAGGACCCCAAACUCUGAAAUUUAGUGUCGUCUGAGUACUAUAUAAUAGUUAAAACUUUCAACAACGGAUCUCUUGGUUCUGGCAUCGAUGAAGAACGCAGCGAAAUGCGAUAAGUAAUGUGAAUUGCAGAAUUCAGUGAAUCAUCGAAUCUUUGAACGCACAUUGCGCCCCUUGGUAUUCCGGGGGGCAUGCCUGUUCGAGCGUCAUUACAACCCUCAAGCUCUGCUUGGUAUUGGGCGUCCCCGGCGACGGGGUGCCCUAAAAUCAGUGGCGGUGCCGUCUGGCUCUAAGCGUAGUAAAUCUCUCGCUCUGGAUGCCCGGUGGAUGCUCGCCAGAACCCCCCAUUUUUUACAGGUUGACCU